rnacentral:rRNA from 1 species
AGAGUUUGAUCCUGGCUCAGAAUCAACGCUGGCGGCGCGCCUAACACAUGCAAGUCGAACGAGAAAGUGGAGCAAUCCAUGAGUAAAGUGGCGUACGGGUGAGUAACACGUGGAUCAUUUACCUUUUAGUGAGGAAUAACCAUGGGAAACCGUGGCUAAUACCGCAUAAGCUCGAGAGAGGAAAGUCGCAAGACGCUGAAAGAGGAGUCCGCGGCCGAUUAGCUAGUUGGCAGGGUAAAAGCCUACCAAGGCAAAGAUCGGUAGCCGGCCUGAGAGGGCACACGGCCACACUGGCACUGAAACACGGGCCAGACUCCUACGGGAGGCAGCAGUGGGGAAUCUUGCACAAUGGGGGAAACCCUGAUGCAGCGACGCCGCGUGAGCGAUGAAGCCCUUCGGGGUGUAAAGCUCUUUCGGCAGGGAAGAUAGUGACGGUACCUGCAGAAGCAGCUGCGGCUAACUACGUGCCAGCAGCCGCGGUAAUACGUAGGCAGCGAGCGUUGUUCGGAGUUACUGGGCGUAAAGGGUGUGUAGGCGGUUGUUUAAGUUUGGUGUGAAAUCUCCCGGCUCAACUGGGAGGGUGCGCCGAAUACUGAAUGACUUCGAGUGCGGGAGAGGAAAGUGGAAUUCCUGGUGUAGCGGUGAAAUGCGUAGAUAUCAGGAGGAACACCGGUGGUGUAGACGGCUUUCUGGACCGUAACUGACGCUGAGACACGAAAGCGUGGGUAGCAAACAGGAUUAGAUACCCUGGUAGUCCACGCCCUAAACGAUGCAUAUUUGGUGUGGGCAGUUCAUUCUGUCCGUGCCGGAGCUAACGCGUUAAAUAUGCCGCCUGGGGAGUACAGUCGCA